rnacentral:rRNA from 1 species
CCUACGGGCGGCAGCAGUGGGGAAUAUUGCACAAUGGGGGAAACCCUGAUGCAGCGACGCCGCGUGAGUGAAGAAGUAUUUCGGUACGUAAAGCUCUAUCAGCAGGGAAGAAAAUGACGGUACCUGACUAAGAAGCCCCGGCUAACUACGUGCCAGCAGCCGCGGUAAUACGUAGGGGGCAAGCGUUAUCCGGAUUUACUGGGUGUAAAGGGAGCGUAGACGGCAGCGCAAGUCUGGAGUGAAAUCCCAUGGCUUAACCAUGGAACUGCUUGGGAAACUGUGCAGCUAGAGUGCAGGAGAGGUAAGCGGAAUUCCUAGUGUAGCGGUGAAAUGCGUAGAUAUUAGGAGGAACACCAGUGGCGAAGGCGGCUUACUGGACUGUAACUGACGUUGAGGCUCGAAAGCGUGGGGAGCAAACAGGAUUAGAUACCCGAGUAGUC